rnacentral:rRNA from 1 species
UUUAAAUUGAGAGUUUGAUCCUGGCUCAGGAUGAACGCUGGUGGCGUGCCUAAUACAUGCAAGUCGUACGCUAGCCGCUGAAUUGAUCCUUCGGGUGAAGUGAGGCAAUGACUAGAGUGGCGAACUGGUGAGUAACACGUAAGAAACCUGCCCUUUAGUGGGGGAUAACAUUUGGAAACAGAUGCUAAUACCGCGUAACAACAAAUCACACAUGUGAUCUGUUUGAAAGGUCCUUUUGGAUCGCUAGAGGAUGGUCUUGCGGCGUAUUAGCUUGUUGGUAGGGUAGAAGCCUACCAAGGCAAUGAUGCGUAGCCGAGUUGAGAGACUGGCCGGCCACAUUGGGACUGAGACACUGCCCAAACUCCUACGGGAGGCUGCAGUAGGGAAUUUUCCGCAAUGCACGAAAGUGUGACGGAGCGACGCCGCGUGUGUGAUGAAGGCUUUCGGGUCGUAAAGCACUGUUGUAAGGGAAGAAUAACUGAAUUCAGAGAAAGUUUUCAGCUUGACGGUACCUUACCAGAAAGGGAUGGCUAAAUACGUGCCAGCAGCCGCGGUAAUACGUAUGUCCCGAGCGUUAUCCGGAUUUAUUGGGCGUAAAGCGAGCGCAGACGGUUUAUUAAGUCUGAUGUGAAAUCCCGAGGCCCAACCUCGGAACUGCAUUGGAAACUGAUUUACUUGAGUGCGAUAGAGGCAAGUGGAACUCCAUGUG